UACGUAGGGGGCUAGCGUUGUCCGGAAUCAUUGGGCGUAAAGAGCGUGUAGGCGGCCAGGUAGGUCUGGUGUGAAAACUCGAGGCUUAACCUUGAGAUGUCAUCGGAAACCAUUUGGCUAGAGUCCGGAAGAGGAAAGUGGAAUUCCUGGUGUAGCGGUGAAAUGCGCAGAUAUCAGGAAGAACACCAAUGGCGAAAGCAGCUUUCUGGGACGGUACUGACGCUGAGACGCGAAAGCGUGGGGAGCGAACAGG
rnacentral:rRNA from 1 species